rnacentral:rRNA from 1 species
GAUGAACGCUGGCGGCGUGCUUAACACAUGCAAGUCGAACGGAAAGGCCAGUGCUUGCACUGGUACUCGAGUGGCGAACGGGUGAGUAACACGUGGGUGAUCUGCCCUGCACUUCGGGAUGAGCCUGGGAAACUGGGUCUAAUACCGGAUAGGACAAUGGUUUGGAUGCCGUUGUGGAAAGUUUUUUCGGUGUGGGAUGAGCUCGCGGCCUAUCAGCUUGUUGGUGGGGUAAUGGCCUACCAAGGCGUCGACGGGUAGCCGGCCUGAGAGGGUGUACGGCCACAUUGGGACUGAGAUACGGCCCAGACUCCUACGGGAGGCAGCAGUGGGGAAUAUUGCACAAUGGGCGCAAGCCUGAUGCAGCGACGCCGCGUGGGGGAUGACGGCCUUCGGGUUGUAAACUCCUUUCGCUAGGGACGAAGCGUAUUUGUGACGGUACCUGGAGAAGAAGCACCGGCUAACUACGU